AAAUCUUCAUGCCUCCUGUGUGUGCCCUGAGCUGUAUUCUGAAGCCAGCCUUGAGGUGGAUGCUUCGGAAGCACUUUAGACACUUCUCACAUAAGCACCGAGGAGAGCUGCCUCUCACAGGACUCUGCGCUGCGCCCCAGGGCUGCGAUAAUGAGCUGCAGGCAGUCAUUUGCUGCCUGUGAUCUGCAGCUCCCCGAGUGCUGGCCAAGGCCUUGGCAGGGACCGUGUUGGCUGGGCUACUAGCAUUGAUUAAAUGGGUGUAAAGAGAAUCCACAUGAUCUUAAGGAAUAUUUUUAUGGGCAAAAAUCCAUCAGCAACACCUACAACACUAACACUCCGAGAAAUGUCCAUUUGAGAGGAGAAUGCCCAAGCGUGUGUUAGCUCAGUGUGAAAGACACUAAAACAAAGGAAUCUGAACGUGCUGCCACCAGCUCGUGGGUCAUCUGAUUGGGGUUGUCUUGACAAAGCA
rnacentral:lncRNA from 1 species